GAAGUAAAAUGUUUAAAUAAAAGCUGCUAACUUUUUAUUUUAAUAGUUAAAUUCUAUUAUACUUCUU
rnacentral:tRNA from 1 species